rnacentral:rRNA from 1 species
AGUAGGACGCACAGUUUAUACCGUAGCUUGCUACACCAUAGACUGUGAGUUGCGAACGGGUGAGUAACGCGUAGGUAACCUGCCUAUUAGAGGGGGAUAACUAUUGGAAACGAUAGCUAAUACCGCAUAACAGUAUGUAACACAUGUUAGAUGCUUGAAAGAUGCAAUUGCAUCGCUAGUAGAUGGACCUGCGUUGUAUUAGCUAGUAGGUAGGGUAAAGGCCUACCUAGGCAACGAUACAUAGCCGACCUGAGAGGGUGAUCGGCCACACUGGGACUGAGACACGGCCCAGACUCCUACGGGAGGCAGCAGUAGGGAAUCUUCGGCAAUGGGGGGAACCCUGACCGAGCAACGCCGCGUUAGUGAAGAAGGUUUUCGGAUCGUAAAGCUCUGUUGCUAAGGAAGAACGAGUGUGAGAAUGGAAAGUUCAUGCUGUGACGGUACUUAACCAGAAAGGGACGGCUAACUACGUGCCAGCAGCCGCGGUAAUACGUAGGUCCCGAGCGUUGUCCGGAUUUAUUGGGCGUAAAGCGAGCGCAGCGGUUAGAAAAGUCUGAAGUGAAAGGCAGUGGCU